UGGAAAUUCAUUUUCUUAUUGCGCAAAUUCAAAGUCUCAGAGUUAUUCACAAUUCGUAUUAAAGAACUAGAGUUUUACAACAAGUAAAGUUUUGCAUAUUUACAAGUCCGGAUCAUCUGUGUGUCCGUCCACAUUCGCUGGUGCAGCGAUUUUUAUAUACUUCCAGGAUUCUAAUCUGAUCGCAGGUACAACUUUUUCCUUACCGCAAGCUCAACAUCAUCAUAGCGCAGCCCACUUUUAGCGCAAGGCCUUUACAAUAUCGCACACCGUGUUCAAAAUAGUCACAACUCAAAUAAUACGUUUGUAAGAAAAUGCGUAAACUAUUUCUUAGCACAUGGUUAUCACAUGGACAAGAGCGACU